rnacentral:rRNA from 1 species
UGGGGAAUUUUGGACAAUGGGGGCAACCCUGAUCCAGCCAUGCCGCGUGAGUGAAGAAGGCCUUCGGGUUGUAAAGCUCUUUCGGCCGGGAAGAAAUCGUGUGGGCUAAUACCCUGCAUGGAUGACGGUACCGGAAUAAGAAGCACCGGCUAACUACGUGCCAGCAGCCGCGGUAAUACGUAGGGUGCGAGCGUUAAUCGGAAUUACUGGGCGUAAAGCGUGCGCAGGCGGUUUAGUAAGACAGGCGUGAAAUCCCCGGGCUCAACCUGGGAACUGCGCUUGUGACUGCUAAGCUAGAGUACGGCAGAGGGGGUGGAAUUCCACGUGUAGCAGUGAAAUGCGUAGAGAUGUGGAGGAACACCGAUGGCGAAGGCAGCCCCCUGGGCCGAUACUGACGCUCAUGCACGAAAGCGUGGGUAGCAAACAGGAUUAGAUACCCUGGUA